GACGAACGCUGGCGGCGCGCUUAACACAUGCAAGUCGAACGGAAAGGCCUGCUUUCCCUUGUGGAUUGCGGGUACUCGAGUGGCGAACGGGUGAGUAACACGUGAGUGAUCUGCCCCCAACUUGGGUAUAAGCCUGGGAAACUGGGUCUAAUUCCCGAUAGGACUGCAGGGUGGUGCCUGUGGUGGAAAACGAUUUUCUAGUGGUUGGGGAUGAGCUCGCGGCCUAUCAGCUUGUUGGUGGGGUAAUGGCCUACCAAGGCGGCGACGGGUAGCCGGCCUGAGAGGGUGGACGGCCACAUUGGGACUGAGAUACGGCCCAGACUCCUACGGGAGGCAGCAGUGGGGAAUAUUGCACAGUGGGCGGAAGCCUGAUGCAGCGACGCCGCGUGGGGGAUGACGGCCUUCGGGUUGUAAACUCCUUUCGACCGCGAGGAAGCCACCUGGUUGGAAGGGUGGUGACGGUAGUGGUAGAAGAAGCACCGGCUAACUACGUG
rnacentral:rRNA from 1 species